AUGGCUCCUUCCGGAAGAUCAUACUUGCCAGCAUACAACCCAAGCUCCACAUAUCCAAACUAUAAUCAUACAUCUGCAUUAAAGUAAAAAAAAAAUUAGUUAUCAUACAUGAAAUAUCUUGUAAUUCAAAAGAAAAUACUGCUCUUUACUAUUAAAAAUAUAUGUCACUCCACUGACCCAAAAGUCCAAAAACCAGUUAACACCUUUAUGUAUUUCUUUUCAGUCUUUUUUCUAUAUACCCGCCCCACCCCCGUUUCAAAACAAUCUGUAUACUAUUUGGAAUUUACUCUUUUCACUUACCUAAGAAGGUCCCAAACUGUUACAGGCCAUGGAAACCUUUUAAUGUGUAGCAUUAUUUUAGUGCAUAAAUGUUUCAGAAUUUAAUCUUUAAUUUCUCCUAUAAUUAGAUAGUGUUUUGUUUUUCAUCACCAUUAUAAACAAUGUUGUGAAGAAUAUUUUUAUGCAUAAAAUGUGUUUUGGGCUCUGCAUUAUAGCUUCAAGAUCCCAGAAAAGCCAUUUCUAGGACAGAGUUUGAACUUCUCAAUGUGUCUGAUAAAAACACCUGCGAGGAGCGGGCAUGAAAGGUACUCCCAAGGAUUUUGUUCCUGUGAGGAGAAAGAGGGCUUUUGUUCUUUUUUGGUCAAGGGGAAGGUCUUUAAAAUACAAUUUAGGAAAAUCACAAGAGAACAUUUUUGAGUUUAUUUUAAGGUUGGUUAAACCUUACAAUUCUCAAUUUGACUCCAAAAAGUAUCUCUGGUGUACCUUCUCUUCAGUUAGGAUCAAAUGCAGAUCUAUUCAUAUUCUCCUGAUGUUAUGAAAAUAAGAACAAGUUAUGAUGGAUGAACUGAAGUGAUUCAUGUUUUACAUUCAUAUAAAAGGGACAGCCAUGUAUGUGCAUAAAUGGCCUACUCAAAUGCACAAAACGACAUUUUUACAAAUUAUGUGCAAAACACAGGACCGAAAUUUUAUCUGCCCUUCUCUUCUCACCUGAUAGUCUACAAGUAGCUCAGGACCUUUGAAGUAUCGGGAAGCAACUCUGACAUUGUAUUCUUGGCCAGGAUGGUAAAACUCAGCCAAACCCCAGUCUAUUAGUCGUAGCUGAAAUUAAAAAAAAAAGGGGAAGAAUAAAUUAUGAGCAAUUUUAUCUUUCAUGCUACCCCACACACUGCCAUCAGAAUACUCUUAAAAGGGGCGCCUGCGUGGCUCAGUCGGUUAAGCGUCCGACUUGGCUCAGGUCAUAAUCUCGCAGUUGGUGGGUUUGAGCCCCAUGUUGGGCUCUGUGCUGACAGCUCAGAGCCUGGAGCCAGCUUCAGAUUCUAUGUCUCCUCCUCUCUCUGGCCCUCCCAUGCUCAUGCUCUGUCUCUCUCUGUCUCUCAAUAAUAAAUAAACGUUAAAUAAUAAUAAUAAAUAAAUUGGGGGAAAAAAGAAUACUCUUAAAAAUACCAGCCAUGUCACUACUGAAACCUUUCCAGUGACUACCUAUUUACAGCAUUUAGAAUGAAAAUCAAACUUCUUAGCUUGGCAUACAGGGUUCUCCAUGAUCUAGUUCCUGUGCUCCAGUGAGACUUCUAGUUUCUGAAAAACACCAUCUAUUCUGCAUUUCUGCACAAUUUCUCAAACUGCUCUUCUGACUAGAAUGUCUUCUGCUAUCCAACCUAGACUCCUACUGAACAUAUCCCUAUUUUUUGAGAUAUUUAAGUUAGCCCUUCAAUGAAGUCUUUUCUAAUUAUCCAAGUAGAACUAACCCAUGCCUUUAGUCCCCUGAACCCCAAAUAUAUUUCUUUAAUAGAACCUACAACUCUUUACUGUAUAUUCAUUUUCUAUCUUUCUUUUUCAAUAUGCACUGUAAUCUCCUUAAGGGAAGAGACUGUGUAAUUCAUUUCUGCAAUUUCUAGAAUGCAACAUAAUGCCCAGUACACAAAAGAAAAAUAAAAAAUAUUUGCUGAGUGAACGAAGUAAGGGAAAAGCCACACAAACAAUUCUGACCAAACUGUAUCCUCAAAAUGGAAAAAGCAGUAGGCAAGCCCAAGAGGCAACCUUAUUUGCUCACUGUGCAAAGCAUGACCAUGAUCUCAAGUAUAAGCAGUAGGGCCUGAGUAAUGCCCGAUCACUCUGGCCCUGUCCAUGUAAGUUCACUGUUAACUAGGUACAGCGUUUACCUUGUAUCAGCAAUGAGUGGAAACGUAACAAAAAGUACAAAAGAAAGCAUAACCUUUUUACGCUUUUUCUUUUUAACCCCUUAACAUUAGUGCCUCAGAGCUCUCCUUGACCUUUUUUUUUUUUUAAAUCAACAAGUACUUCCAGAUGACCAUUUCUGGUCUAUGGCUUCACACACAGCACCUCAGCCUUUCCCCCCUAGACUCCCCAGCCUGUGCCUCCUGCCAACUGACUCUUUUAGCCACCCAGUAGACAUAUCAAACAAAACCUCUUGAACACUCCCUGCAAAACCCGCUUCACCCACAGCCUCUCCCCUCUCAGUUAACAGUAAUUCUAUUCAUCCUGUCGUUCAGGCCAAAAAUUUUCACCCUGGGUUCUUGUUUCCCUCACACCUCACAGCAAAUCUGACAAAUGGCUCUACCAUAUUCUGACCGUGAUCAUCACAUCCACUGCCACGACCAUCUCGUUUGACUUCCUGGAACAGUCUCUUUUCCUAACUGGUCUCCUUGCUUUCACUCUUGCCCUGCGCCUCUGUUCUCUGCUUUUGAAAGAGCAAAAGCUUUUCAUUUAAAAAUGAUUAUGAUUCAGGAAGAUCUCAUUUUUCAGUUUGAUAUGCAUGCAUUUGUGUGUAGUUCUUGCAAUUUUAUCACACGUAGGUUCAUGUAAUUUUCAGAAGACAUUGACCUGUUUAAUCACCACAUACAUCCCUUGUGCUAUCCCUUCCCCUCACUUCCUAACCCCUGGUGCAACCCCUGUUUUCAAGCUCCAAUUUUGUCAUUUUGAAAAUGGACCCAUUAAUGUAACUUUUUGUGACUGCUUUUUUUCACUCAGGAUGAGAUUCACCAAGUUGGUGCAUUACCAGUAGUUCUUUCCUUUUUUUAAAAAAGAUUUUAUUUUUAAAUAAUCUCUACAACUAACACAGGGCUUGAACUUACAACCCCGAGCCCAAGAGUCACAUGCUCCACCAACUAAGCCAGCCCCAGGAGCGCCUAGUUCUUUCCUUUUUAAUGCUGAAGAAUACUAUUUAGUAAUACUACCACAUAAUGUCACAGUUCAAUUACCCGUUCACCCACUGAAGGACAUUUGGGUUUUUCUCCAUUUUGAGCUAUUACAAAUAAAGCUAUGUUCAUAUAUAGGUUUUUGGGUGGACCUAAGUUUUUUGUUGCUUUGGGAUAAAUGCCAUACUCCCAGACUGUUUGGUAAGCAUACGUUUAGCUUUUUAAGAAACCAACAAAGUAGGGGCAUCUGGCUGGCUCAGUUGGUUGAGUGGCCAACUUUGGCUCAGGUCAUGAUCUCGCAGUUUGUGAGUUCAAGACCCACAUCAGGCUUGUUGCUGUCAGUGCAGAGCCUGCUUCAGAUCCUCUGUCCCCCUCUCUCUGCCCCNNNCCCCCCCCCCCCCCCCCCCCCCCCCCCCCCCCGCUUGCACUCUUUCAAAAAUAAAUAAACGUUAAAAAGAAAAAAAAAAAAGAAACAAACUAAGAAACAAUAGUCUGAUAUUUUCCAAAAUGGCUGGGCCACUCCAUGUUCCUGCUGGCAGUGCAUUAGAGAUGGAGUUUCUCUGCAUCCUUGCCAGCAUGUGGUAUUGUCACUAUUUUUAAUUGUUCUAAAAGAUGUGUAAUGAAUUUUUAAAAAUUUAAGUGACAGCAUGUCAACCCUCUGCUCAAACCCUGCAAAAAAAGCUCUGCAUCUUCAGAGAAAAGGCCUGACAACGAUCUUUAAGGUUUUACAUGAUGUGGUUCUCUAUCUCUUUGAUCUCAUUUUGUUUCGCUCCCCCCUGUUCAUUCUAUCUAGCUCUAUCUAUCCAACAUGCCAGGCACAUUCUUGCCUCAGGGCCUUUGCACCUGCCAUUUCCUCUAUCUGGGACACAUUUGUUUUUGAGAUUACAUGGCUGGUUCCCUCCAAAUGUCAUUCAAGUGUCACCUUCCCAAUGAAACCUUCUCUUUUACAACCUUAUUUAAAACCCUAACACCCUUUACGAUUCCCUAUUUAUGAUUUCUCUUCCACAUCACCACAGAGACCAUCAGCAGGGGAGGGGCAGAGAGAGGAUCAGAGGAAACAGAGGAUCCGAAGCGGUUUCUACGCUGACAAGUAGUGAGCCUGAUGCAGGGCUCGAACUCAUGAACUAAGCCGUGAGAUUAUGACCUGAGCCAAAGUCAGCACCAGCUGGGCCACCCAGGUGCCCCUCUUCCAGGAACAUCACUAUUAACUUUCUAUCCCCCCAGCCUCCUGCAAAUGCAAGCUCCCUACGGACAAGAAUUUUUUUGUCUAUUUGUCUCACACAUAUAUCCCCAGCCUCUAGAACAAUACUUAUUAAACAGUGUGAGUCUAAAUGGAUAUUAGUUGAAUGAAUAAAUCAACUAUGUCCCCAAAGUACACAACAGAUAGCUAUUACUGCCUAUAAAAGGUGAGCUUGGUCACCUUAAGAAACUGAUUAUAAAGUCAUGUGGUCAGUGCAGCUCUCAUUAAAAGCAUUUGUAAAGUUCGGGGGCCUCAUGACACUUGCUAAUAAGCAGCAGCAUUUUCUGAAUAUUUUAUCUAUGUCACAGCCGUGUAUACUUAACUCUCAUAAUAGCCUAGUGGCAUGCAGAGCAAUUAUUAUUAUACCCAUUAUAAAAGAAAAAGGAGGUAAAUGAGUUUCCCAAGAGAUUAAUUAUUUAAUAAAUGAAACUAGAAGCCAGCUUCCCUGCCCAAAGUUAAUGUUUUGCCCACUAAUCUGUUGUUGUUGUUUUUCUAAUGUUUAUUUCUUUUUGAGACAUAGAAAGACAGAGUGCAAGCUGGGGAGGGUCAGAGAGAGGGGGAGACACAGAAUCCAAAGCAGGCUCCAGGCUCUGAGCUGUCAGCACACAGCCCCAGGAGAGGACCAAAACCAUGAAACAUGAGAUUACGACCUGAGCCAAAGUCGGACGCUUAACCGACUGAGCCACCCAGGCGUCCCCCUCCUUUUUUAAAAGUAAUCUCUACACCCAACAUGGGGUUUGAACUCACGACCCUGAGAUCAAGAACUGCAUGCUCCACCUACUGACUCAGCGAAGGCGCCCCAAAUCUAUUUUCUUCUUGAUAGUAUUCUUAGGAAUAUGAUAGUGGUUUCAACAUUAUGAUUUGUUAAUGAGUUCAUUCAUCUACCAAACAUUUAUCAAGUGCCUAAACUCUAUCAUAUUGAUAAAUAAGACUUGUUGGUCUAUCGCUUUACCUUUCUGUGCUCGUGAUCAAUCAUGACAUUAUGGGGCUUCACAUCUCUGUGCAUAAUUCCCAUGCUGUGACAAUAAUCCAGGGCCUGUAGGAGGAACAGAUAAGAAAGAAAGAGUUAGCCUGCUUAAGAGUGACUUUCUUAAAGUCUUCUACUUUUUUCACCAGAGGUUUUCUUGUAGCCUCACAAAACCCCUGUGAGUCAAGAACAGGACAAUCACUCCCACAGCUCUUCUUCAGAGACUUCCCCAAGAUCCCAUAGUCAAGAAAACUCAUAGCCUCUGAACUUCAAGUUCUGUCCCUACACUGUUGGUUCAACAUCCUUUCUGCUGAAAAACACCGAAAGUAUAUACCAAUUGCAACACUUCCAGUAUCUCCCCCUUACCCAAAGGCUGGAUCAUUUUCAGAAACACAGGCCCCUCAAAACAAGAAAACCGGUCUGUUCUACAAACCUCUCAUUCAAAGAACAAUAAUCUUCUAGCAGCUAAGAGCACACAACAGAGGUUGGCAAAUCACAGCCCAUGGACCAAAUACGGCCUGCUGCCUCUUUUCGUGAAUGUUUUAUUGGAACACAGCCACACCAAUUUGUUUACGUAUCAUCUCUAGCUGCUUUUGUGUCACCACAGGGAUAGUGUGAGAAAGAACCUAUGGCCCACAAAGCCAAAAAUUUUAUUGUUUGUCCUGUACCUGAUUUAUUACAUCAAAUCCGAUUUGAAAACCAUGUCCAAUCUCAAACUAAGGUGAACUGAGUAGCAUAACCUUUGGGGUUUGCUAAUCCCAGCCUUUAAGCCAGCUGAUGUCAUUGGCUAAGUUCUUGUCCUUCCUGAAGGGCAACUUCGGUUCCUAUGGUUUCCAGGGCUAGACAAGUAUAUCCUUUAACUUUGUGAAGUCACGCUUGUCACAAUACUGCAGGAGCCAAUGGAGAGAUCAAAUAUCUCUGUUGGGAUAGCCUCUUUAGGGUGCUACUAAAAUUCAAAUGCAGGCUUUAUAGCAACCCUCAUUUAGUAAGAAUCUUUAGCCACCUCUUCACAAUUUUCUCAUCUAUAGAGAUGAUCUUAAUGCUUACUAGGAGCAAGACAAUUGGUGAUCUCAUGUUAGAAAUCAAAGUCCACUCUAAAUCAGCAAUCUUUGAGCAGAGAUUUACAUAAUCCUUAGGACGAUGACCCUUUGAGGGCUGAGAUGGAGUUUACUGUUUUACUUGUAGAAUUUUAAGUAAAAUAAAGUAUACCACAAGCCAGCGUAUCAGAAGUUAUUUUUGUUGAGUUUUGACAAUCUAAUUGUAACUUUCAUAGGAGUACGAUGGAGAUUACAAGUAUUUUUUAAAGGGGCCCCAGCUCACUUCCAAAUACCAUUUCCAAAGCAUUCUAAAUUACAUUCCUACUAGACUCUAUUCCGUAAUGCUUACAUUAGCACAGGGUUCUGAUGCUAUUAACUAACUAAACACUUACAUGAAGAGGCCCCUUCUUUCAACAUACUUUCCAAAGUUAAUUCACUGGCUUCUCCACAGUUAACUGGACCAUUUAACAAAAGGAAGAGCAAACUAAAGAUAUUUAGUAUCCCAGGUUCCCUUACCUUCAGAAUCUCAUACAUGUAAAAUCGAAUAUCAUAGUCUGUUAACGUCUGGUACAAUUGCUGUUAAAGACAAAUGCAACAUAUAAGCCGUGAAAUAAUGCUGAUAGGAAGGCAAUUUCUCAUCUUUGUUUGUAGUAAUUCAAACCAAGACUUGGCUCGUUUGCAACAGUUCCGGGAUGUGUCUGUUCAUCAGUCUCUACUUCUCCAACAGAAACUUACUUUUUAAAAGAGAUACUUUGGGUAUUUAACUCUAUAUGCAAAAGCGAAGACUUAGUUAAACUUGUAUUGCUUAAGCUAUAACCCACUGUUGGGAAUGUACCAAUUUACAUAUGCAACAUGCACUGAUACCAUACAUUUGAAGUUUAGUCUGCUUUGCAUUUACCUCCAGACCUUCCAAUAUAAGGCAUUUUGGCAAAUACACACCUUCCUUAGUAGGGAACUAACCCACCUUUGAUGUAUAGAGUUAUAUAGGCACUAUGGGUCACCAGCUGGUAUGUAAGAUGGCUUCCCGCCAAAUCCGUCAAUUUGACAGAACUAUUCCCAUCCCAAGUUGAAAGUAAACUCUGAACUGUUGUAUAUCCUUUCCAGGUUCCAAGAAGCUGCAGAUUUUUUUUUUUAAAUCUAUGUAUCAUUCAGCUGUUAGUGAUAUCCUGACAGUUUUCCUUGAAGUUAUCAUUCUGCUUCUAAAAUACUUACUUUCCUUUUUUUCAUCCUCCCAGCAAAGGGUUCACAGGCUUCACCCAUUUACUGAUACAUAACAUUCUUACUACAGGACUGUGAAAAGGCAAGUCAAGUACCUUUACAGCUUGUAACCCAAGAGAGUGCCCACAUUCCUCUGCUGUACUCGAAUUGAGAACUGUUUGAAAUAAGGAGGAUACCAGAUGGGCUGGAAGUCAGAGAUCUGUUGUAGAGGUCUGUAUUAUACCAGAGUUUGUACCAUGCUUCUCUACCCACCCCCUUUUUAAGAUCUAUAGCCCAGAAUUUCUGAGGGAUCCCAAGGUAUAAGCAGUCCUUGCUUGUACACACACAAUGUAUUCCUUCUUGAAUACAGUUGUUUUAACGUGAAAUGCCCUACAGCCAGAUCCUGACUGAACACGUGCUGUGGCUUUUAUUAGGUUUGACAUCUGUAGAAACUGUCAAAUGAAUGGUAAAGGUGGUGAGAAGUAAAUGUAUUGGUAAUUAAAAAGAGCACAAAACAAACAAAAGAGUGAAAUACCAAGAUGUGGAAAGCAGACAUUGCUUCUGUGAGUUUCUCUAUCUUAAAAUAAGGAUAAAUUCUCUAUCUUAAGUAAGGAUGAAAAGCUCUUUUUAAGCAUGUUAGAAGGAAGCUCUUCUAAUAGUAACAUUGCUAAAAGGCUUUCUAUGUGGUCUAAAAACCCAACACCUUGAAAUGGUUGGUUAUAUAUUAUACCUUGAAGUCUGUGUUGUUUACGUGUUCAAAAACCAAGGCAGGGGUUCGUGACUAGGGGAAAGAAAAAGAAAACACACAUUAGCAAUAGCCCUGGCAGCUUUAGCAGGCACAAUGUUCGCAGAUACUACGUGGUGAAUUUGGUAGUCCUUGCCUCAGUAGUAGGAAACCCUCUAUUGCUACGAGCCCUCCCCACUCUGAUCACCACCACACUUAGGUCAUUUUUGGGAUGGAUUUCAAACAGAAGACAUGGAGCUGAAGUCUCACCAGGCUCUAGGCAGCCCGACAAUGCGCCCAUCGCCCAUCGGCAUCGGACCUGAGUUUGCAAAAUGGAUUAACACAUUUCAGUUUCCAGUGCUAUCAGUCUCUUAGCCUAGAAGAAUAAGAAAUAGUCUGUGGGUGGAGGUCUCUUUGAAAGAAAGACCCAAGCUAGUUAAAUGGUAUAACUGAUUAAGCACUUUUAAAGCAGGACUUAACGGUAGAGGGGGAAAAUAAAGAGGCCAGUUGUGCUCCAGGUCAAACACCACCUCAGCCCUGGUGGGCCUUGCCAGCGCCUACCAUACUCACCACAGGGUCUUUUACAAUGUCUGCCAGUGUGAUGAUAUUGGGACCGCCUCGUAAAUUCUCCAAAAUCUUUAUUUCACGCUUGAUUUUCUUCUUCUUUACUGGCUGAAAGGGUAAAAGUACAUCAGUGAAAUUAUUUCAGAGUAUUUCAACAUGUAAAUAAAUGUAAUACAUAAAUGGCUAUUUAUGAGCUCUUUAAAGGAAAGGAUAUGUGUCCAUCUCCUCUCUGAAUCCCCUUCUCCUAGCCCUGUGCCAGGGAUUCUGCAGGGACUCAGCAAAUGUUGAGUUGAAAGAAAAAAGAGUUCAUCCCAGAGAGCAAACCUCUGCAGAACUAGCAUUUAAUUCAUCAUCAAUCAUAGCAUGUUAACUUUUUAUUUUUUUUAAUUUUUUUUUAAUUUUUUUUUUAAUGUUUUUAUUUUAUUUUGAGAGAGAGACAGUGUGAGCGGGGAAGGGGCAGAGAGAGGGGGAGACACAGAAUCUGAAGCAGGUUUCAGGCUCUGUCAGCACAGAGCCUGACGCGGGGCUCGAACUCACAAACUGUGAAACCAUGACCCGAGCCGAAGUCGGUCGCUCAACCAACUGAACCACCCAGGCGCCCCGCACGUUAACUUUUUUAAACUAUACAAACCAGGACUGUAAGUUGUUAGUAAUACUAAGACAUAGCUUGUAAAAGUCUCUGACAAUUAGGAUGAAACAUGGGCUCUUUCCAUUCCUUCCUUUAAGUCUAUCGACUUCCCCCACCCUACAGAGGGGAAGUCAGGACCAACAGCAAGGAUGACCAAAUCACCUUUGUGCAGCAUAACUUUGUGGUUAAAUGUGGGACUUGGAAUCAAACUACGUAACGUGAAUCUUACAUUCAUUGCUGGCUGUGUGACUAGGGGCAAAUUACCUAAGUUCUGUAAGCCUUUCGUUAUGGGUAAAAAUGAUCAACAAGAGCACAUAUCUCAGAAUAUGGCUGGGACACAACCCAUAAUAUCUGCCUAGCUUUAUCACCCAUAUUCCUAUAAAUGAGCUGCUGCGUCCAUUUAAAAAAGACCACUCUGCAGAGUCCCUUGAGUAUAUCUCCCAUGUGCCUUUGUCCUCACCCAUCAUUUCUACAUCGGUUCCCGUACAGAAAUCCUUUUCAUUUUUCUGGGGAGGGCUUUGGUCCAACUGCACUUCCUCCACAAAGCCUUCCUUCUAAAUAGUCUAAAACAGUGAUAGUCCAAAAGGAAUACAAUACAAGCCACAUGUGUAUUUUAAAUGUUCUAGUACCCACAUUAAAAAAGUAAAAAGAAACAGACGUUAAUUUUAAUAUAUUUAACAAAAUAUAUCCAAAAUCUUAUCAUUUCAACCUGUAAAUCAACAUAAAAAUUCCAAUAAAUAAUUUAUAUUUUUUUUGUGCUAAGCCUCUGGAAUCAAUUAUAUUUUAUCCUCACAGCAUAUCUCCAUUUGUACUAGCCACAUUUCAAAUGCUCAAAAGCCACACGUGGCCCGUAUCUGCUACACUGGACCACGAGGUUUUUCGCAGGGCAUCAGUCACCUCCGACUAUUGAUAUUCUGCAUAGAAUUCUUAGAAAUUGUUUUAAGUAUGUUUUGUCUCUUCAUCAACAAGAUCAGUGGUUACCAAACUUCAUGAUCAACAGUCACCUGGAUUUUUUUUAAGUUUGAGAGAAAGAGAGCAAGAAGAGGAGGGAUGGAAAGAGAGGGAGAAAGAAUCCCAAGGAGACCCCGCACUGCCAGCACAGAGCCCAUUACGGGCCUCGAACUCACAAAUGGGGAGAUUGUGACCUGAGACGAAAUCAAGAGUCAGACUUUUUUUUUUUUUUUUUUAACGUUUAUUUAUUUUUGAGACAGAGAGAGACAGAGCAUGAACAGGGGAGGGGCAGAGAGAGAGGGAGACACAGAAUCUGAAACAGGCUCCAGGCUCUGAGCUGUCAGCACACAGCCUGACGCGGGGCUCGAACCCACGGACCAUGAGAUCAUGACCUGAGCCGACGUCGGACGCUUAACCGACCAAGCCACCCAGGCGCCCCAAGAGUCAGACGUUUAACUGACUGAGCCACCCAGGUGUCCCUAAUAGUUACCUGUGUUCUUAAAUAUACAGAUUCCCAGGUCCCACUUAGAUCUGCUGAAUCAGAAUCUUGAGAAUGGAGUUAGAGAGCUAUUCUUAGAUACUUCCUAGGUUGAUAAUCCAGGUCUAGGAACUACCAAACCAUACUGUAAAUUAACCUUGUCUUAAGUUCCAAGCAGGAGCUACAGAAACAAGCAAGUCUUGGAAACAGACCAUCCUCAAAUCCAGCUUUGUAGUUAUGCAGCUUUGGGAAAAGCACUUAAAUGUAUCUGAAAUUUUUUUUUUUUUAAUGUUUAUUUACUUCUUGAGAGAGACAGAGUGCAAGCAGGGGAGGGGCAGAGAGACAGACAGACACACACACACACACACACACACACACACACACACACACACAGAUCUGAAGCUGGUUCUAGGCUCCGAGCUGUCAGCACAGAGCCCCACAUGGGGCUCGAACCCACGAACCUAGAGAUCACGACCUAAGCCAAAGUAGGAUGCUUAACCAACUGAGCCACCCAGGCACCCCAAACGUAUCUGAAUUUAUAACUUGCCUUGUAGAACUGUUGUAAUGUAAAUAUCACAGACAGAAUAGGGCCCAAUGCAAAGUAGACAAUAUAUGGAAACUGUUACUAAUAGAGACUCCCAUGGUCUACAUUUAAUUCAAUCCACAGCUUUUAGCCUUGCUUCUGUUAGAACUCAGUACACUGACUGGGAAGCAAGCUGAUCCGAAGUUUCCUCUUUUUGCUUCAACUACCAGAUCUUUGUGAUCUGCUAGAGUAUCUGGGAGAUCUACUUUCCAGGGACUAACCCAUCAAUCUAUCACCUGUUUUCCACUAAAUCACUAUUUCCCAACUGCCAGCUAUAGCUAAGGCUUAUAGCUAAACUUAUAGCUAAGGCUACUGGUUAAUGAAAUUUUUUUCCUACAGAAUCCUUAAAAUCUGUGAACUUACAAAGCUGGUUUGUGAUAGACCAGGCAGGUGACUUAAACUCUAAUUUAAUGUGAUCAAUGCAACUAUUUUGUCUUAAUAAAUAGGUAGAUCAAAAAUUUUAAAUAGAGUUUAUGAACGAACUUCAUCUAUAUUUACAACCAUCUUUCUAUAUAAUUACAGUAAAAUAUACAGUACAGUUAGGAAAAGACUGGAGUACAAAAAAAAAAUCUUUCCAAACCCCCCUUCACUCAAAAUCAUCAAUGACUCCCAACAACCUAGAAGAGAGAAAAAUCACGUUACCUUUUUAAAGAAAGAACGAGAGCAUGCACAGGAGCAGAGGAGGAGGCAGAAGGAGAGGCAAAGGGAGAGAGAGAAUCCCAAGCAGGCUCCACAGAGCCUGAGGCAGGGCUCAAUCCCGAGACCGUGAGAUCAUGGCCUUAGCGGAAAUUAAGAGUCUGAAGCCCAACCUACUGAGCUACCUUUUAAGACUUGAAGGAAAUGCAGAGAUUAUCUUUUCCAGCUGACCACCAAUUUAACUUUCCUUUCCAAGUUCACCUUCCAUGCAUGGUCACUCAACAUCUUCCACAGGAAACAUUUCUCUCACUUAUUUCUUCCUCUUUUCUUAUCUUGUGGAUUCUUCCCUUCUCUACUCCCACCCAUACCUAUCCAAAUCCUCCCCCCAUUCAGAGCCUGAAAACAGCUCCUGGGAGCUUUCCCGAACCACCAGCUUCUUCUGAACUGUGAGACCAACUAUUUGUGCCUUUUAUGACACUAGAUAACACCUCACUUUAUUUUACCAUAUCCCUUUCCACAUACGUAUCAUCCUACAAUUUACACAGAAUUUCAACCUCUAAAGUAUAUGUCUAUAUACAAAUUUUUUUUUAAGUUUACUUAUUUAUUUUUGAGACGGGGGGAGGGGCAGAGAGACAGGGGAAGAGAGAAUCCCAAGCAGACUCCGCACUGUCAGCAGAGCUCAAUGCGGGGCUCAAACGCACAAACCAUGAGAUCAUGACCUGAGCCAAAACCAAGAGUUGGACACUUAACCUACUGAGCCACCCAAGUACCCUCUAUAUAAUUUUUUAUUUGAUCCCCAUAACAACUGAGAAAGACAGAGAAAGCAAGAUUAUCUCAUUUGCACAGAUGAACAAAACAUCUUAGGUUAAAAGGAUUACCAAGGUUAAUUACUUUUAGAGUUUGGGUUAGAAUCCACAUGUUCUAAUUUCGGGCUUAGUUCUGUUCCUACAUGUGACAUAAGACAGAUAAACUUUCCGGUUCCCAAAAGGUAUGCCAAGGCAUCCCCCACAAAUUCAUAGGGGUUCUGUGAGAUUUUUAAGUUUUUUUUUUUUUUUAAUUUUUUUUUUUCAACAUUUAUUUAUUUUUGGGACAGAGAGAGACAGAGCAUGAACGGGGGAGGGGCAGAGAGAGAGGGAGACACAGAAUCGGAAACAGGCUCCAGGCUCUGAGCCAUCAGCCCAGAGCCCGACGCGGGGCUCGAACUCACAGACCGCGAGAUCGUGACCUGGCUGAAGUCGGACGCUUAACCGACUGCGCCACCCAGGCGCCCCGAGAUUUUUAAGUUUUGAGGGAAAUAUCAAUUAAUAUCCAAAUCCGCCAGGGAAGGAGUAUACUACCAACCUGAGGUUGUUCUUAGUUUCAACAUUAGAUUGCACUACAUUCCUUUUGAUGGUGUAUUUUUGCAAAGCUGGGUUUUCAACCCUUCCUGUGACAAAAAGUAAGUACUACACAAAAACCACUGUUGAAAAGGAAAUGAGUCUAUUAGUGUCCAAAUGAUUCCAACAUUCGAGAAGCUGUGCAGUGAUCAACAGAUGUAUAUAUCCCAAAGCUCAUCAAUUAUGGUCAUAUAAGCAUAAAAUAAGCUAUAUUUUCUUUCAAUUUCUGUGUAUAACAGUUUAGUUUUUAAAAUUUUUAUAAAGUUAUUUAUUUACUUACAGAGAGAGUGAGCGAGCGAGCCAGGGUGUGCAUAUGUGCUCGAGUGAGAGAGAGGGAGAGAAUCCCAAGCAGGCUCUGUGCUGUCAGUGCAGAGCCUAACUUGGGGCUUGAUCUCAUGAACUGUGAAACCAUAACCUGAGCCCAAAUCAAGAGGUGGACACUUAAAUGACUGAACCAUCCAGGUGCCCCAGUGUAUAACAUUUGAAAUGGCACCCAAGUUAAACAUUUUUUUGUUUUUUGGACUUAACUACUUAAAAGUUACUGACACAAUAUGGGUGGCUAUAAAUUGAUGAAGUCUGGGAACCUUUGCUUCUCAGUAUCAAAUAUGGGAAAGUUCCUAUAGCAAGGAACUAUAUGCUAAGUUCCUGGCAUAUGACAGUGCACAGUACAGUCGUAAGUAACUUCCAAGUUGCAUGUUGGUAGCCCACUGGCCAAACCUGGCCUACACAGUGUGUGUAUAUAUGUAUUUGUUUAUAUAUUUAUUUUAGAAUGGAAAAGAGCAAGUGGGGGAGGGGCAGAGAGAGGGAGAGAGAGAAUAACGAGCAGGCUCAGUGCUGUCAGCUCGACCUCACGGACCAAGAGAUCAUGACCUGAGCCAAUAUCAAGAGUCAGAUGCUUAACCGACUGAGCCACCCAGGCACUCCUGUAGUGUUUUUAAAAACUCUUGAGCCAACAUUUAAAAAAUCAGGGGAAUUCAUAUAUAAAUACAAAUUUUUACUUUCUUUUUGGAGAAGCGUAUCAAGCAACACUGGACCUGCACUACUGCGAAGUAAUUACCAGCCGGAGCUGGAGCACACACAGCAGUACCCGUCGCAGGCACUUACAUCACACUAGCUGCACAGACGGCAACUGCCUGCCAUUUAAAGGCCUGCGUUUGGACUCCUUUUCCUCACACAGAAAAGGUAACAACUUAUUGAAAACAAAAGGAUGGAAUAUAACUGAAAAUAUAGGAAAUCAGUAUUAGGCAAGACGUAGGAGAGAGAAGAUUGAACCUUUACUCCCUUCCUCUGCCACAAACUCGCUGAGCUGUAUGACUUGAGCCAAAUUGCUUCUUUUGCUUCAAUUUCCUGACCUGUCAAAUAAAGACAACCUCUUCUGGGCGCCUGGGUGGCUCAGUUGGUUAAGCACCUGACUUCAGGUCAGGUCAUGAUCUCACAGUUAGUGAGUUCGAAUCCCGCUUCGGGAGAGCCCCACUUCUUUCUCUCCCUCUCUGCCUCUUGCUCACUUGAGCCCUCUUUCACAACAACAACAGAUAACCUCAUCUAUCAACUUCAGAGAAUACAGUACAAAAGUGUUAAAGCAUUACAAAAAACUUUUCAAAUGCUACUUUAAAAAAAAGGUAUCAUUAUUACUUAAAAAUCUAAAUCCCAAGUACUUCUGAAAUGAUAAUCUCUUUCUUCUUAUACUCACCUUGAGAAUUUUAACAACAACUUUUUCAUUAUUUGUGAUGUUGAUGGCUUCAAAUACUUCACUGUAUUUACCCCGGCCUAAUUUUCGAACGAGUUGGUAGUCAUCUUGAUUACUGUGAACAAAAAAAGUCAAAGUCACAAUGAUUUUAAAAGUUCAAACUAUAAGGCACUAAUUAACUUUAAAAACUCUACUACCAGUAGGAGUAAAAGAAAUAAAAGGCAUUUCAAAUAAUUCCCAAAUUGGUUUCUCUGUAUUUUAAAAAUCGGGCCAUUAAUUAAAAAUGUGUGUUCUAAAUCCUAGAAUUAGAAAAGUUUAAGCCUUUCAAUUAUUCUUUCAAAUCACACACUGUUUACAUUUCUACUGGCAUGCCACACAUAGCCACCUUAUGUUAGGGUUUGUUAUGUGUUUAUAUCCAACAACAGACAGCUUUCCCUUGGAGGAUAAUUUUUAUAUAUCUCUGUCCUCUCGUGCCUGGCCCGGUGUUGGCACCUAGCAGGAAGUCAAUUCAUGUUGUAAGAAUAUUUCAAUUCAGCCACACAUUAGAAGCAGAUUUUUCAUGGACCUUUUUGCAGGUAAGUGGCUUUCAAACAUAUAGGCUUGACUUCCCAUUUGCCCUCCAAGGCAAACUCUGAGGACAGUCCAUGUAAAAAGUUUGCAAAUCACACUACAGAUCAUGAAUCAUAGUUAGGGGCCCCUUCCUCUAUUUUUACCCAUAUUCCAUGACCAUUAGCAACAUCAGAGGUAAAAAAAAUAAGGGAAAUGCCAACAUUUUAUCCCUGCCUCUGAUUACAAUUUAGAUGACUUUGCUUUAAAGAGUAAGUCAAAAUUCUAUUUACUCCUGCUGGGGGCACUGCAAAUCCAACAUGUAACAAAUUAGCCAUCCAUUGUCCUCAAGCAGCCAAAAAGAAAGUGAAAUGAACAGACAAGGCAGAUGGUACUAAGGACAACGGACACUGUAUUAAGGCAGGUCUGGGGGAGGAGGCUCUUAAUUCUGGUAGAGUUCUCCCGUGGCAGACACAGAAAACAAAUGCAUGUGAGCCAAGAGUGCCAUGCCAAACCUCGGAAGGGCUGUUUAGUGCUAUUUAAGCAGAACUAAGUGCAAAGCACUCAAUUCAAAGACAGUGGUUCAAAUUUUGUUAGCAAAACACAAGUAUUCCUAGAAUUUGAAGCCUGUGACAAGUGAGGAAUUGUUAGGUUAUCAAUAACAACAUUUAUUGAUAUUGUACCACUGGUUCUUGAUGGUAUCUAUGAAGCACACUGUAACUCCUUGUGCACAGGCAAUGCAUUUACUGUUAAGAAUCAUGGCCCAAUCAGGAUUACAUACCCCCUUAUGUCAAUAUUGGGAGACUAUCUUUAACCACUUACAGGUUAUAUACAUCACAUGUGAAUAGAUAUAAAAUGUAGCAUGUGGGAGCUACUGCUUUAUGCAUUUCCAAAUUGCUUUCUUUUGCACUGGAUGUCAAAAUGCUUUUAUCACAGUUAGUAUGACCUGAUCAAUUAAAUACCUACAUGUUGGGACAAGAGAUACAAACAUCCAAAUGAGACUGCAGAGAGAAUAGGGGCAAACACAACUACGGAGGUAGACUGCAACUGUUCAAAAUGGAAUGGGGGCUUAAAUCCACGUUACUCAUGGCUUGCUUCAUGGUAAGAGUAAACGCUGAUAAGGGUUUAAUUUUGUUUCUAUCAGAAAGAGGAUAUCUUUCUGGAGAACUGUUUCAUCCUUCAGUAUCAUCAUGGGACAACAUUCUCUGACCUCAAAAAUACUUUACAUAAGAGUAUGGUUUUAAAAUCUCUCAAGUAUUAAUUCUCACCUAACUACAAAGCCCUUAGGUGAGACAAGCUGACAUGUAACUCUUUGUUACCAGCCUUUUAUCCAGAAUAUGUAAGUCCAAGGAAAGAAUAAGAGACAGAAGUAAUUUUUAAAUGGUAAGCCCAACAAAACUGUUAAUUUGCCAAAGCAAUACGUUGCUUCUUCACUGCAGAAGAAAACACAAAUCAGGUUUUAAUCUUGAGGUUUAUAAAUGCAGGCAGGAAGGAUUCCUAACACAAAUUACUCAACAAGUACACAAGAAUCAACCCUAUGAGUGAGGACAGUGAAGUAAGAGGANCACCUAACUACAAAGCCCUUAGGUGAGACAAGCUGACAUGUAACUCUUUGUUACCAGCCUUUUAUCCAGAAUAUGUAAGUCCAAGGAAAGAAUAAGAGACAGAAGUAAUUUUUAAAUGGUAAGCCCAACAAAACUGUUAAUUUGCCAAAGCAAUACGUUGCUUCUUCACUGCAGAAGAAAACACAAAUCAGGUUUUAAUCUUGAGGUUUAUAAAUGCAGGCAGGAAGGAUUCCUAACACAAAUUACUCAACAAGUACACAAGAAUCAACCCUAUGAGUGAGGACAGUGAAGUAAGAGGAAAUAAUUACCCCCACUCCACCACAUGUGACUCAUAAUCCCAGUACUCUCGGGGUCUGUGCGUAUUAACAUCUGUGUAAACUCUGGCCCUGCUUGGCACGGGUCCCGACAUGUCAGACAGGUUGGCGAAUGAAGGUGGACUUGAUGUUUGGAGAUCUGGCAGUCAAUGUGUUCAGAAGCAGCUGGGGGUAUGACCUUGUUUCAGACCUGUUUUCUUCAAACUG
rnacentral:lncRNA from 1 species